AGCUUUGAGCAAUGGCAGUAUGGUAGCUUAUUAGGUUUAUCCAAGGUGCAAUUAUUGCUAAUUGACAACUUUGCCCAAGAGCUUCUUUGAAACAAUAUAGGACAAGAGACU
rnacentral:snRNA from 1 species